rnacentral:rRNA from 1 species
AAGACCUCAUGCUUUUGGAGCGGCCGAUGUCUGAUUAGCUAGUUGGUGAGGUAAUGGCUUACCAAGGCAACGAUCAGUAGUUGGUCUGAGAGGACGACCAGCCACACUGGGACUGAGACACGGCCCAGACUCCUACGGGAGGCAGCAGUGGGGAAUUUUGGACAAUGGGCGCAAGCCUGAUCCAGCAAUGCCGCGUGAGUGAAGAAGGCCUUCGGGUUGUAAAGCUCUUUCAGUUGAGAAGAAAGAAUUCUGGUUAAUACCUGGAAUUUAUGACGGUAUAGACAGAAGAAGCACCGGCUAACUACGUGCCAGCAGCCGCGGUAAUACGUAGGGUGCAAGCGUUAAUCGGAAUUACUGGGCGUAAAGGGUGCGCAGGUGGUUUUGUAAGUCAGAUGUGAAAUCCCCGGGCUUAACCUGGGAAUU